rnacentral:misc_RNA from 1 species
UUUCCGUAGGUGAACCUGCGGAAGGAUCAUUAAAGAGAUCGUGCCCUCACGGGUAGACCUCCCACCCUUUGUUUACAAUACCUUUGUUGCUUUGGCGGGCCCGUUUGGCCCCGCGCUGAACAACCGGCCCCGGCUGGUCAGUGCCCGCCAGAGAACCGAAAACUCUGAAUUAAAUGUCGUCUGAGUACUAUGUAAUAGUUAAAACUUUCAACAACGGAUCUCUUGGUUCUG